UCAGUGCUUACUUCAGUUAAGGGAAGCCUCUCAGUUUUAGUAAUUAAAUUUCCAGACAUUGACAUUGGCUGAGGGAAAUGACUGAAUAGAGUACUACAAUACUCAUAUACUUCUCGCAUAGAUAG